AAUCAACGCUGGCGGCGUGCCUAACACAUGCAAGUCGAACGAGAAAGGGGGACUUCGGUCCCUGAGUACAGUGGCGCACGGGUGAGUAACACGUGACUUAUCUACCCUCGAGUGGGGAAUAACUUCGGGAAACCGAGGCUAAUACCGCAUAAUACCCACGGGUCAAAGGAGCAAUUCGCUUGAGGAGGAGGUCGCGGCCCGAUUAGUUAGUUGGCGGGGUAAUGGCCCCCACCAAGACGGUGAUCGGUAUCCGGCCUGAGAGGGCGCACGGACACACUGGAACUGAAACACGGUCCAGACUCCUACGGGAGGCAGCAGUGGGGAAUUUUGCGCAAUGGGGGAAACCCUGACGCAGCAACGCCGCGUGGAGGAUGAAGUCUCUUGGGACGUAAACUCCUUUCGAUCGGGACGAUUAUGACGGUACCGGAAGAAGAAGCCCCGGCUAACUUCGUG
rnacentral:rRNA from 1 species